AUGGAUAAAUCUCAAUGUUACAACACAGAAGAAAGAAACCACUACAAUAGCAACUUGCUCAAGUCCAUGGCGGCCGCCGCGAAGCAUGGAGGAAUAGAGCACCACCAGGCCACCACGGCGAGGAAGCAGCAGCACGUUGGCUUCCCGAGGCUGUCCACCUCCAGCAAGGCGCUCGUCCCGCUGCCCCACCUGCUCCUCUUCGUGUACCCCAAGGAGUUCGAGUUGCAGUCGCUCAUGAAUUAUGUUCAUGCGGGACAGGCACGAAGGGGUUCGACUCUUGAUUUGGCGGCGGCCUUCAUUUGGGGGCUCAGCCGCAAGGCUGCGGGGUGA
rnacentral:rRNA from 1 species